rnacentral:rRNA from 1 species
GACGAACGCUGGCGGCGUGCUUAACACAUGCAAGUCGAACGGAGCGAGUGAAAGCUUGCUUUUAUGAGCUUAGUGGCAAACGGGUGAGUAACACGUAGACAACCUGCCGAUAGGAUGGGGACAACAUUCCGAAAGGAAUGCUAAUACCGAAUGGCGUGUAGGGGAGGCAUCUCCCGUACAUGAAAGAUGGCCUCUGAAUAUGCUAUCACCUAUCGAUGGGUCUGCGUCUGAUUAGCUAGUAGGUAAGGUAACGGCUUACCUAGGCGACGAUCAGUAGCCGGUCUGAGAGGAUGAACGGCCACAUUGGGACUGAGACACGGCCCAGACUCCUACGGGAGGCAGCAGUGGGGAAUCUUCCGCAAUGGGCGCAAGCCUGACGGAGCAACGCCGCGUGAGUGAAGAAGGUCUUCGGAUCGUAAAGCUCUGUUGAAGGGGACGAACGAUCGAGGGGCGAACAGGCUCUCGUAA